GCGAGCGCUGCCGCUCGAGCACGCUCAUUUCGCAGUUUUCCGACGUCGAGCUGAGGCAAUGCAACAUCUCCGGCAAACCACUGUUCAUUACCAAGCAAGUAAGCUUCUUCUUUCUUUUUUUUUUUUUUUUUUGUGUUCGUUCAAGAAGAUUUUUGUCUUGCUUGUUGGUGUGGUGGGAGAGAAGUGAGGAGUGUGGUUUGGGAUAUAUAGUGCUUUGAUGUACCCAGUUGUUGCAGUGUUUUCAUCCAGGUUUCACGCAGCACACAGAGUGGGAAAUUGUGUGAAGUGUGUGUGAGGGAAAAAUGGUGGCUGUGGGCUUCGGUUUUAUAUAUGGGGAAGGAGGAAAAAGGUAGUUAGGGAAAAGGGAUAUAAUUUUGAUCAUAAAUUUUAGUUGGGGGAAGAAAAAGCAUUUAAAAAAUAUUGGUUGGCAUUUCUUUAUUUGGUAGAGAGCGGGGCUAUUGUGGGGCAUGCAUAAUUGAGAGGAAAAGCCGCCGGAAAGUCCGAUAACGACCGCCGGCUACGACUAAACCUGUCGGAAUAAAUAAAUCUAGAGAGAGAGAGAGAGAGAGAUAUGGAUAGGUGGGGGCAGAGAGGCAUGGAAUGUAACCACAAGCAGAAGCCAUGGUGUGCGGGGCCCAUCAAGACGUGACUAGCCACGUGGGCGUGUCUCUGGGCCCACACUCACUGUAGGGGCAAGGCCCUAUAUCAGGUAUUGGGCCCUCCGAUUUUGACACUCCAGAUUAUUAUUGUAUCUCCUAAAUCAACCAAAUAAAUAAUAAUGUCACUAACGUAACUCAGGGGACUUAAUUUUUUACUAUCUUAAUUUUUUUAACCAGAUUUCUUGCUAAUUAGUACUCCAUAUAAAUGUCUGAAAACAUUUGUUCAUUUUUGAAAAUUUUGGGUUUCAAAUGUUUAAAAUUCUUGGGGGAGAGAGGGAGCAAAAAAAAAAAAAAAAGUAGUCGAAUUUGUUACAAAUCAAAACAUGAUUGAAGACUUUAUCCACCAACCACUAGGAUUGUACGCACACAAUUUUUAGGUAGCCAAUAUUGUGACUUCCAUGUUUUGAUUACACAAUUUAUUUAUAUUCCUUCUUAUUUUGUGACUACGGAGGGAGUGAGACUCUCUUUUGUAGCAGCAUGUCGUUAUUUCCGAAGACUAGAUUUUUUUUUGGGAGGCGAAGACUAGAAAAUUAAUUCCAUGUAUAAUUAUUAAUUAUACGUCCUUAAUUUUUUUGCAUUUAUGUAUGACUAACUUAGUUAAAUUAAGGUUGCUUAACUAAAAAUAGUAACAUUAAGAUAGCACAAUUUGAGUGUGGACCACGCUGUGUAUAGAUUUUCUACAAAAUCGUUGUCACUAGACAACCAUAAUCCAGUACAGAUUUCAUAUCAUUUUCACAUAAUUUUCUUAUAUUAUUAAAUUAAUAUUUCCCAUUCACCUUUUCUUAAAAAUGACGAUGGCAUCUUUAAUCAUAUUUUUAUGUUGCUGUCUUGCCUCGUCUCGUAUUAUCUUGUGCUAUAUUUGAGUGAUUUUAUAUCAAUACCAAACGAG
rnacentral:lncRNA from 1 species